rnacentral:tRNA from 1 species
GCCCGGGUGGUCUAGUGGGUAAGAAACAUUGAAUUGCCCCAGCAUCACCAACCAUAUCACUAACAUAAUCUUAGUAUGAUUCGCGCUUAGGGUUCACCCAAAGCAUUGACUGCGCGAGGUCCCCGGUUCGAUCCCGGGCUCGGGCC